rnacentral:tRNA from 1 species
ACUAUUUUGGCAGAAAAGUGUGUUGAAUUUAGAAUUCAAUAAUGUAGAUAUUUAUCUAUAAAUAGUA